rnacentral:rRNA from 1 species
AUGGUUAAGUGGACAGACAUUUGCCUGCCCAAAGACCAAGGUGGCUUGGGCAUUGUGGCCUCCCGGCGUAUGAACGUCACAUUAAUGUUGCGAAGAGUUUGGAGAAUCUUGCGCGGGGAUGGAGGGCUAUGGCUUCAGCUCAUUCAGACAAAAUACCUUAGGGGUGAGCCUCUCUUGGCAUGA